rnacentral:rRNA from 1 species
ACGGGGGUGGCAAGCGUUACUCGGAAUUAUUGGGUGUAAAGGGCAAGUAGGCGGCCCAUUAAGUGAGGGGUGAAAUCCUGCGGCUCAACCGCAGAAAUGCCUUUCAAACUAAUGGGCUUGAGGCCGAUAGGGGGAAACGGAAUUAGCAGUGUAAGGGUGAAAUCUGUAGAUAUUGCUAAGAACACCAGCAGCGAAGGCGGUUUCCUGGAUCGGAUCUGACGCUAAAUUGCGAAAGCUAGGGGAGCAAACAGGAUUAGAUACCCUGGUAGUCCUAGCCGUAAACUAUGAGUACUAGGUGUUGGGCCUUCGGGCUCAGUGCCGCAGCUAACGUGUUAAGUACUCCACCUGGGGACUACGGUCGCAAGGCUA